UACGUAGGGGGCAAGCGUUAUCCGGAUUUACUGGGUGUAAAGGGGGCGCAGACGGCGAUGCAAGCCAGGAGUGAAAGCCCGCGGCCCAACCGCGGGACUGCAUUGGGAACUACCGGGCUGGAGUGCCGGAGAGGUAGGCGGAAUUCCUAGUGUAGCGGUGAAACGCGUAGAUAUUAGGAGGAACACCAGUGGCGAAGGCGGCCUACUGGACGGUGACUGACGCUGAGGCUCGAAAGCGUGGGGAGCAAACAGG
rnacentral:rRNA from 1 species